rnacentral:lncRNA from 1 species
UCGGCCGUAUCGGGGAUGCUGGAACCUGCGGUUGAGUGAGAAACCGGCGCCACCGCCUGCGUCUUGGUCUCGGGCUGGUGGCCAGCGGGGUCUGGGCGUGGUUUUACCCAGCUCCUUUGCGAAGCUGCUGUCCUUUCCUCAACGUUACCACCCGGCUGGGCAGCCUACCCUCGCAGCAACAGGUGUGCACCUUCCAAGCUUGCAACAGACCACAUUCAGAAGCUUGAUUUCUUGUUGUUCUGGGAAUAUCUGGAUCAGAGAUUUCUCCAAGCCACUCUCCCCGUCAUCUCCUCCACCCCCAGGACCCAACUCCUGCCCCUCCCACCCUAGCCCCUGUUCUCCCUGCCCACCUCCUACCCCACUGGAGUGGCCUUUCAUCAAACCUAAACCAAAGAAACCAACAGACCUUGCUGUCACCACUACUCCGGGACCUGGAAGUUAAAGCGAGGGAGAGACGGUGAAACACAGAAAGCAGAACGCCUUCUGUUCUUCCACAACACAGGGUUUGUGGACGUGGCCACUAUAAGAACUCGCACUGCGUGCUGAUUAUACUCCUCAGCACAAUUCAUUUCUUAAACUUUUUAGAAUAAUUUAAAAUUUACAAAAAGUUGCAAAAAUAAAAACCAGUAAACUUUUAAAAAAAAAAA